rnacentral:lncRNA from 1 species
UUUCCAAUGGAAGCAAAAGUUGCAAUGGACAUUGCUCAAGUUGAUGGCACUUCUGAGUUCCCACUGGCUAGCAUCAACAAGAAAAUGGUCAACGCACAGAGGACAACGGUAGAUUUGAACGAGGUUCCUUUCAAGAUUAAAGAAGAGCACUUGAAUCGGCUUAGGGCACUCUCUAGAACUGGUAAAGAUGUUUGCAGCUACAUUUAUCAUCAAAGAGUCCUCGUUAUUUAUGUUUCUCUUCUUUCAAUUCUUGAUAUAUGGUCUGCUAGGGAUCGUUUGGUACAUGGAAUAAGGAUAAUAAUUCCGGGAUAGAAUUUUGGAUUGUAGUUAUCCCAUGUUUGGUUAUAGCCGUUAGCUUAUCCCGUACAGAAGGUGGGAUAGCUAAUCUAUGAUAUAUCCACCAUUAUACCAAACUAGCCCUUAGCAUAUAAAUUGUGAGCGCAGUGGUUGUCCUUUGUUUUCUGCUUCUUACUUUUAUUUCUUGGCCUUUUUUUUGGGGUGUCUGUGGGGUUUGGGGUGGGNNNNNNNNNNNNNNNNNNNNNNNNNNNNNNNNNNNNNNNNNNNNNNNNNNNNNNNNNNNNNNGGCGGAAUGGGGGAUACUGGGAAAGGGAUGCAAGCGAGAUUCUUCCCAUAUGGGAAAUAAUGGACUUUAGGAAUUUCAGGGUCAAAAUAUUAUAGUAUGGCUGUACUUCUUAAAAAAGAUGCAGUACUCUCAACAGAGAUUAGUAUAAGCUUUGAGGAAUAAAAGAAGAAUUGGUAGAAAUUCUCAUAGGUGAAGCAAAUGAAAUCUUUUUUCGGACAAAAAAGAUAUAAAAGUAAAACUGCAGUGGCUAAGAAAGCUUCGGAGAUUGAAAACGUCGAAAUAAGUGGCGUCAGUUGGAAAAAUGUGGGUUGUUGCCCUGUUGUGAAUACAACUGAACGGUAUUGUUAUUUAUUUCACUUGAGAUGGGCCUUGAGAGUGCUUGAUUUCUGAAUAUACUCUGAAUUUUGUGCUUUGAAGUCUCCUGUGUUGAACAUGAGCUUUGAAAAUAAACCAUUCUCUACUUGUGUUUGUACAAGCAGUGGAACUUGGAAAACGCUUCUUUCCGCGUUGUUCAGAAGUUCUAAACAAGAUCAUGGAUGCUGAUGACUUGUCUGAGAUAGCAUACAUGGGGAAUGAUACGGCGGAAGAGCGUCAACUGAAGAAGCAAAGGUACAUGGAACUUCAAGAAAUUCUGAGUAAAGCAUUCACUGAGGAUAAAGAAGAAUUUGAUAUGACUAACAACAUUUCCUCA